GACGAACGCUGGCGGCGUGCCUAAUACAUGCAAGUCGAGCGGACAGAAGGGAGCUUGCUCCCGGAAGUCAGCGGCGGACGGGUGAGUAACACGUGGGCAACCUGCCUGUAAGACUGGGAUAACUUCGGGAAACCGGAGCUAAUACCGGAUAGGUUCUUCCCCCGCAUGGGGGAAGAUGGAAAGACGGUUUCGGCUGUCACUUACAGAUGGGCCCGCGGCGCAUUAGCUAGUUGGUGGGGUAAUGGCCCACCAAGGCGACGAUGCGUAGCCGACCUGAGAGGUUGAUCGGCCACACUGGGACGUAGACACGGCCCAGACUCCUGCGGGAGGCAGCAGUAGGAAUCUUCCGAAAUGGACGAAAGUCUGACGGAGCAACGCCGCGUGAGCGAAGAAGGCCUUCGGGUCGUAAAGCUCUGUUGUCAGGGAAGAACAAGUGCCAGAGUAACUGCUGGCACCUUGACGGUACCUGACCAGAAAGCCACGGCUAACUACGUGCCAGCAGCCGCCGUAACAC
rnacentral:rRNA from 1 species